UGGCGGGCCUCCUGAGCGCGGCGACAGAUGCCCCUCAUAAUAAGGAAACUGCUGCCGGCGAGGCCUACAGAACAGGCUCAGCGAAGGCAGCGACACAGGCGGCAUGAGUCGAGGCAGCGAGGCGGUGAGGAGGCAAGAGGCAGCAGGGCCGCUCCUCGCUGCCCUGUGCCGCCCAGAGCCUGUCUCCUCCAACAUGCAAGGCAGUACGUCACCAACUUAGCCUAACCAGUCCCAGCCAGACCCACCCACCACGCAGCCCCGGAAACAGAGGACAAAACUGCCAGACAUGAAGCUCGAUACUUGAUGUUGGCGAGGAGGAGGAGGGACACAAAUAAUAUCAAGGAAGAGCAAACAGUAACAGAUCCGUUGUCCCUAAAGAGGCUACGAUAAGCUACUGUUGAAGGGGAAGGAGAAGAAAAGAAGUGAUGGAUCUCUCGCCAUCUUCUACGGUUAUCUCCAUGGGUACUGUGCUCUUCUGACCAUGCAAACCGCAUACCUCCCGUCCUACAUGGCCUCGCUGCACAAGACUUUCUACUCUUAUUCAUUUCUGU